CCCUGAGGCCUCCUCUCUGGCGUCAGUGUGCUAAGUGUAGUGAAGGAAGUUCUUUUUCCUUCCACGCUCCCAGGCUCUCUGGCUGGGAGGCCGGAAUAGAAGACCAACGUCGGACGUCGGACCGCCGGGAGGAAACCAACCAGAGGUGUACGGGCGCGUGCGCGAUGCGCGAGCACGUAGCAGGCCCCACAGCGAGCAUCUCCUCGGAGCGGGUGGGCCUUGGGCUCCCACAGGGCUCCCACCAGACGGUCUUCAGAUGCACCCAAAGGUCAAGGAGAAGGCGGCCGUCUACAAGCCAAUGAGAGAGGAGGCCUCAGAAGAAGCCACCUUAGUCUUGGACUUCUGACCUUCAG
rnacentral:lncRNA from 1 species